rnacentral:rRNA from 1 species
GAUGAACGCUGGCGGCGUGCCUAAUACAUGCAAGUCGAGCGGAAAGACGAGGCUUUUGCUCGGCUGACGUGAGGGGCGGGCGGGUGAGUCACACGUGUAUACCCUACCUAUAAGACUGAGAUAACUACGGGAAAGCGGAUCUAAUACCGGAUAAUAUAUUGAACCGCGGGGUUCAUUGGUGAGAUACGGUUUUGAUGUCACUACUAGGUGGUUCCUGGCCGCAUUGGGGAGUUGGUACGGUAACGGCCUACCAAGGCAACGAUGCGUGGCCGACCGGAGAGGGUGAUCGGCCACACUGGAACUGAGACACGGUCCAGACUCCUACGGGAGGCAGCAGUAGGGAAUCUUCGGCAAUGGGCGAAAGCCUGACGGAGCAACGCCGCGUGAGUGAUGAAGGUCUUCGGAUCGUAAAGCUCUGUUAUUAGGGAAGAACAACUGUGUAAGUAAAUAUGCACGUCUUGACGGUACCUAAUCAGAAAGCCACGGCUAACUACGUG